rnacentral:rRNA from 1 species
UACGUAGGGUGCAAGCGUUGUCCGGAAUUACUGGGCGUAAAGGGCGCGUAGGCGGCCUGCUAAGUCGAACGUGAAAUCCCCGGGCUCAACCCGGGAACUGCGUCCGAUACUGGCAGGCUUGAAUUCGGGAGAGGGAUGCGGAAUUCCAGGUGUAGCGGUGAAAUGCGUAGAUAUCUGGAGGAACACCGGUGGCGAAGGCGGCAUCCUGGACCGAAAUUGACGCUGAGGCGCGAAAGCCAGGGGAGCAAACGGG